rnacentral:rRNA from 1 species
ACAUGCAAGUCGAACGGUAACAGGAAGAAGCUUGCUUCUUUGCUGACGAGUGGCGGACGGGUGAGUAAUGUCUGGGAAACUGCCUGAUGGAGGGGGAUAACUACUGGAAACGGUAGCUAAUACCGCAUAACGUCGCAAGACCAAAAAGGGGGACCUUCGGGCCUCUUGCCAUCGGAUGUGCCCAGAUGGGAUUAGCUAGUAGGUGGGGUAACGGCUCACCUAGGCGACGAUCCCUAGCUGGUCUGAGAGGAUGACCAGCCACACUGGAACUGAGACACGGUCCAGACUCCUACGGGAGGCAGCAGUGGGGAAUAUUGCACAAUGGGCGCAAGCCUGAUGCAGCCAUGCCGCGUGUAUGAAGAAGGCCUUCGGGUUGUAAAGUACUUUCAGCGGGGAGGAAGGGAGUAAAGUUAAUACCUUUGCUCAUUGACGUUACCCGCAGAAGAAGCACCGGCUAACUCCGUGCCAGCAGCCGCGGUAAUACGGAGGGUGCAAGCGUUAAUCGGAAUUACUGGGCGUAAAGCGCACGCAGGCGGUUUGUUAAGUCAGAUGUGAAAUCCCCGGGCUCAACCUGGGAACUGCAUCUGAUACUGGCAAGCUUGAGUCUCGUAGAGGGGGGUAGAACUCCAGGUGUAGCGGUGAAAUGCGUAGAGAUCUGGAGGAAUACCGGUGGCGAAGGCGGCCCCCUGGACGAAGAC